rnacentral:rRNA from 1 species
AAUAGAUACCCUGGUAGUCCACGCCGUAAACGAUGGAUGCUAGCUAUUAGGGGGGAAUCGACCCCCUCCGAAGCGAAGCUAACGCGUUAAGCAUCCCGCCUGAGUAGUACGAGCGCAAGCUUAAAACUCAAAGGAAUUGACGGGGACCCGCACAAGCGGUGGAGCGUGUGGUUUAAUUCGAUGGUAAACGAAGAACCUUACCAAGGUUUGACAUCCCGGUAGCCGUUCUCCGAAAGGAGAAUUUCAUUUAGUUGGACCGGUGACAGGUGAUGCAUGGCCGUCGUCAGCUCGUGUCGUGAGAUGUUGGGUUAAGUCCCGCAACGAGCGCAACCCUUAUGAUUUAGUUGGAUUUUUCUAAACAGACUGCCCUGGUAACAGGGAGGAAGGAGGGGAUGAUGUCAGGUCAGUAUUUCCCUUACACCUUGGGCGACACACGCGCUACAAUGGCCGGCACAAUGGGCAGCUAAGCCGCGAGGUGGAGCAAAUCCCAUCAAAGCCGGUCCCAGUUCGGAUUGCAGGCUGAAACCCGCUGCAUGAAGCCGGAAUCGCUAGUAACC